AGAAUAUUGCAAACGAAGACCGGCCGUAAGGAGGAGACAGUGGCACAGGACACAGCAAGUGUGCCGUGAGCUACACCCUCGCUCCGCCCGAGCUUCUUCUCCGUCUCGCCAUGUCGAAGCAGGACGCCUCCGACGGCAUCCCUGCCGCCGAGGCGCCGGCUAAGCGCCGUCCCCUCAACAAGUACGCCCUCGCCUGCGCCAUCCUCGCGUCCAUGAACUCUAUCCUCCUCGGCUACGAUGUCUCGGUGAUGAGCGGAGCGCAGCUGUUCAUGAAGCAGGACCUCAAGAUCACGGACACGCAGAUCGAGAUCCUCGCCGGCAUCAUCAACAUCUACUCGCUCGUCGGCUCGCUGGCGGCGGGCCGGACGUCGGACUGGAUCGGCCGGCGCUACACCAUGGUGCUCGCGGCGGCCAUCUUCUUCGCGGGCGCGCUCAUCAUGGGCCUCGCCCCGAGCUACGCGAUCCUCAUGCUCGGCCGCUUCGUCGCCGGCGUCGGUGUCGGGUACGCGCUCAUGAUCGCGCCCGUGUACACCGCCGAGGUGGCGCCGACGUCGGCGCGCGGCCUGCUCACGUCCUUCCCGGAGGUGUUCAUCAACACGGGGGUCCUCCUCGGGUACGUCUCCAACUACGCCUUCCACAGCCUCCCCGUGCACCUCAGCUGGCGCGUCAUGUUCCUCGUCGGCGCCGUCCCGCCCCUCUUCCUCGCCCUGGGGGUCCUCGCCAUGCCGGAGUCGCCGCGGUGGCUCGUCAUGCAGGGGCGCAUCGGCGACGCGCGCCGCGUGCUCGCCAAGACCUCCAACUCGCCCGCCGAGGCCGAGGAGCGGCUCGCCGACAUCAAGAGAGCCAUCGGCAUCCCGGAGGGUGUCGGCGGCGACGAUGACGACGUGGUGGUCGUAGCCCGCAACAACAAGGGCACCCACGGCGAGGGGGUGUGGAGGGACCUGCUCCUCCGCCCCACGCCGCCCGUCCGCCGCAUCCUGAUCGCCUGCCUCGGGCUCCAGUUCUUCCAGCAGGCCUCCGGCAUCGACUCCGUCGUGCUCUACAGCCCCCGUGUGUUUCAGAAGGCCGGGCUCCAGUCGGACAGCAACUCCCUGGGCGCCACCAUGGCGGUGGGCGCGUGCAAGACGCUGUUCAUCCUGGUGGCCACGUUCUUCCUCGACCGCGUCGGGCGGCGGCCGCUGCUCCUGACCAGCGCCGGUGGGAUGGUAGUAUCGCUCGUGACGCUGGCCUCGGCGCUGCACGCGAUCGACCGGCUCCCCACGGGCCAGCCGACACCGCUGGCCGGGGUGAGCAUCGCGGCGGUGCUGACGUUCGUGGCGUCGUUCUCGAUCGGGAUGGGCCCGAUCGCGUGGGUGUACAGCUCGGAGAUCUUCCCGCUGCGGCUGCGCGCGCAGGGGUGCGCGCUCGGCACGGCGAUGAAUCGGAUCAUGAGCGGCGCCAUCACCAUGUCCUUCAUCUCGCUCUACAAGGCUAUCACCUUCGCGGGCAGCUUCUAUGUCUACGCCGGCAUCGCCGCCGCUGGCUGGGUGUUCAUGUUCUUCUUCCUGCCGGAGACGAGGGGCAGGAGCCUGGAGGACACCGAGAAGCUCUUCGGCGGCGGUGACGGCCAGGACGGCAGGGAAGAUGAACGUGACGCGCAGAAGAAGUCCACGGAGUUUGACUAGCAGUCAACAGCCAGUAGCUACUUGAUGGGUGGCAUUCAAGUGACCUGAACUGCUAGUGUGAGGUCCUGAAGAUCCAAACACCCCCCGUGCGCGACGGAACACAAGCUAAGUCUGUCAGCAGGCGGGCUGGCAAAUCGGGCACUUGCACAACACAUGCUUGUUGUAGAAAUUAGAGUCAGGGUCCAUUCCACCCUUCGGAUCCUACAUGUUCUUCCUGAUCUUGAGCAAGAACUCGAAAAGGGAUUCAGGCAAAUUUGCGCCCCGAGUAACGACUACAUUACCAAAUAUGUAACAUUCCGCAAACAAAAUUGGAUGCUUUCAAUGCAAGUAUAAGCAUCAAGUGUGUUAAGGGGCGGAGCUCACUGAUGAUUAGAGGGGCAUGGCCCCCCUGCACAAUACAAUUUGCCAAUAAGUAAACAGUAAAAGUGGUACUGUACCAUGAUAUUUAAUUUGCCACUAAGUGAAUGAACAGGAAAAGUGGUAUUGUACCUUGA